GGAUUGAUUUCCACCCACCCCUCACUCCUGAAUGGGGCCCUCGAAGGGAGACACCCCUGACUGUGCUGAUGUUGUGAACGCUGCUGGGCCAGACUGGUGUCUGCAGGAGGACAAAGCAAGGGCUGGUUCUGACUUUGGUUUGAAGGUGAUUUUCCCACAGAUCCCCCUUGGCACGAUGCUUUUACCUCUUUUGUCUCUGUGCCUUUGGCUCUAAAUCUUAACGUCUUAAUUAGAUUGUGUUUAUAUUUGCACCAUACAUGUGGUCUGGCACUUGAAGAUUGGAUAGAGAGUGACACAAAUAUUUAGACUCAGGGAGUGCCAGUGGAGAGAGCGAGCCUGGAGACCAGCUACUCCAAUGCCCUCAUUUGCCUUUGCUCAUGUCUGUCUCGUCAAGCAGGGACCCUGCAGGUGGGAAAGAAAGAUGGCAAGAGGACAGCCAAUAUCACAUUUUCCUUCCCAAGACAGGAAUGAAAAGCCACCAAGACGGCUUUUGUGAAAAUCUGGAAGGACAAGAAAAGCCCACUUUAGUCAUCAGAUCUCAUUUCAUCUAUUGUUAACCUUGAGGAGUGGCGAGCCCGCUGUUCCUGCCAAGCUCUUCAAUACCCAGCUAGAUGGGCACCCUGAACAGAAGUGCUUCUGGACUAGUGCCACAGGGACUGCUCUGAGUACCAGGGUGGCCUCGGGCAAGGCUCUGGUCCUUUCUUGAAUGGCUUCCCAGGCCUGAGGAGGCACAGGCAGCAGUGAGAAUCUGCUAAGCACUUGUGAACACUAUAUGCUGAAAUGCUUGAAAAGGCUUUCCUGCCCUGCAGGGACCCGGGCUCAGCACCUUUUUCAGACUCCAGGAAGCUCAUAUCCCGCUGAUGAACAGCUCGUGGCCAUUGCAGCACUAUGGAAAACCCGCAGCUCCUGGCAUCAUUUAACUACAUGCCACUCAGGGCACUGUGCGUGGAGGUGUGGGCAGAGGACCACGAUGAAGGCCACAGUCCCUCCAAAGCCAGCACUCCUGCGCCAAAGCCCCUGCAGGUGCAGGGUGGUGGCCUGUCUGAAGUUUAAAGGCUCACAUGGAAAAGCAGACCCCUAGGCUCUCCCAGGCCACAGUCGAGCCCGUCUACCCCCAGCUGAGUUGGAGGCCCCUCCCUCAGCCCUGCCCUUGUCUGGGCCGUGCCACACACACAUUCCCACGGCUCCUUUCCACCUGUGCAGCAGCACCUGUUAGAAAACUCAAGCUUCAGACCCAGUCUAGCAGAGUCUUCUACAGAGGGAAACAUCUUUGGUCAGCUGGGUGCUCGCAGGACGCUGGCACCCCGGGGCCUGGGACAGAGGCCGCUGCCCACCAGCAAAGGCAGAAGCUGCUCUGGAGUCCAAGUGGAAAAUCUCAGCAGCGCAGCCCUGCGGGCUGGAGCAUGGCUUCCCCGCCACCCCCGGCACACAUAGAAGCUGCUUCCAUGCCUCUGGAGGCCAGGCUGCCUGGCACCAUUGGCCAACAGCUGCUAACUGAGCGGGGGCCCUCCAUUGAGGAAGUAGGUCAUCAUCUCGCCUUUGCCCUUGACCUUGACCACGCCCCGGCACUCCAGCUGGUACGUGUUGGCAGCCAGCACCUGGUACAUGUCUGUGGUGACCUGUGGGGGAAAAGGAGGAGAGAGGGCAAGCCACUGAUGGCCUUGGCCAUGAACUGCUGUGGGGUAGAGCCACCUCUGACUGCCCAGCCCUGUUGCCGCCCCUGACACAGAAGGAGAGGGGCAGCUGCCCCACUGAGGUGCUCUCAGGGACUGACAGCAGCUCACCAUGGAAGGGAUCCUAAGAAAAGAGCAACGCCAGCUCUCACCCUCAGCACCUGCUCGUGCCAGGCACUGUGACGGGCAGCUUGCGUGUGCUGUUUCAGUGUGGCCUGUGGUCCAUGGACUGACUGCCCUGAGUCCAGAAUAAGUUCAGGAGUGGACAGUAAGUGCCGGGGAGCUUUCAAAGCCAUCUGACCUGGCUGCAGCCUGUCUCCAAGUGUGUCCCUGGUGCAUUGUACAAAAGCAUCCCUCCGUGACAGAUCAGAACGAUUUUUAAAAGCUGCUUUUCUCACCACAGGUCGUUUGAGAGCCUUUGCUUAUCUCACUGCAUCUUCCUGUGAGGUGACUACUAUACUAUUAUUACCCUCAGGCUCAGAGCAUCUAAGUCACGAGCCUGAGUUACACAGUGAAUAAAUGGCAGGGCCUGUGCUUAGG